rnacentral:rRNA from 1 species
GAUGAGCGCUGGCGGCGUGCCUAAUACAUGCAAGUCGAGCGAACGGACGAGAAGCUUGCUUUUCUGAUGUUAGCGGCGGACGGGUGAGUAACACGUGGAUAACCUACCUAUAAGACUGGGAUAACUUCUGGAAACCGGAGCUAAUACCGGAUAAUAUUUUUAACCGCAUGGUUCAAGAUUGAAAGACGGUCUUGCUGUCCCUUAUAAUUGUCUCCGCGCUGCAUUAGCUAGUUGGUAAGGUAACGGCUUACCAAGGCAACGAUGAAUAGCCGACCUGAGAGGGGGAUCGGCCACACGGGAACUGAGACACGGUCCAAACUCCUAGGGGAGGAAGAAGUAGGGAAUCUUCGGCAAUGGGCGAAAGCCUGACGGAGCAACGCGGCGGGAGGGAGGAAGGUCUUCGGAUCGUAAAACUCGGUGAUAAGGGAAGAACAUAUGUGGAAGGAACAGUGCACAACGUGACGGUACCUAAUCAGAAAGCCACGGCUAACUACGUG